UGUGCACGUGCGCGCGUGGUUCGUUCGUUCUGUCUCCAGGCUAGUAAGUACUGAGGGCUUCAUCUAUCUAAAAGGAGUCAUUUCCAUCUGAAUGUGGCAGCACCGGGACACAGCAGCAGAGCGAGUCAACAUCCAGAAGUCUGGAGCCGUGUUUCACUGACAGGCUGUCAGACUAACGCCCUGAUGAGCUCAGCAGGGACAAACUGGUCUGAUGUUUAGGAACACAGAACGUUCAGAUGUUGGCGUUUCACGUCACCUACUGAGGAAGGAGACCCACCAGUAAAGAGACGGUCUGGACCAGACCAAAAAUAUGGCGAUGACAUCAUGGAACUGGUCUUUGGAAAAGUUUUCCCUGAACCAACUCCGUUUCUAGAUGAGGUAGAGAAGAUCUGCAUCUCACCAACCCUCUGGUCUCAGUAUUCAGACAACGGAGGUCUCCCACUGUUAUCCAGGACCAGUUUGAAGCCCACAUACUGCCCCUCCCUCAUCAUCAGGAAACAUCAAUCCGUAUCCUGAGGACAACAGAAGACAGCAGGAGGACAGGAACUCUGAGACCUAGACACCACCAGCACCGAGACACAAAGCACCUGUGUGCACAACGCCUGUUUAACUACUAAAGCCUGUUUAUUAUAUAGUUCUACUUAUUUGCUGUGAGGUUAAUACUUAGAAAAUUUGUAUAUUAAUGUAAACAAUAAAAAAAAUCACUGAUUGUAUGCUUUCUUUUAGAUGUAAUGGUCCAAACUCAGCCUUGUAGACAUUUAUUGCAUCCUGUAGGUAAAUACACAGAACAGGCUCAGAUCCAGGAUGACCCAGCAUGCUCUUCUUCCAUUCUGGCUGUUAGGGAUUUUAUCAAUAACUCAAUGCCUACUGAUGUUUUCACCUAACGGUAUUUAUUUAGAAUGCAGGUAAGAUUUAACUAUAUUUGUUAGCAAAGCAGACUGAUCUUGGGAAUUUCACUGCAGCACUGAUAUCCACCUCUCUGUACACGUUAGAGAGAAUUACCACUUUACAGCUAAACACAUUUAAUAAAGAUAUAGGCUACGCAUUGCAGACAAUAAAAACAAAGUUGUAAGCAUUAGAAUUAUAAUGAUCACAUUAAAGAACAUUUGGAGGAA